rnacentral:rRNA from 1 species
AUACGGAAGGUGCGAGCGUUAUCCGGAUUCAUUGGGUUUAAAGGGAGCGUAGGCGGAGCGCCAAGUCAGCUGUGAAAUCCCGCGGCUCAACCGUGGAACUGCAGUUGAAACUGGCGCCCUUGAGUGCACAUGAGGACGGCGGAAUUCGUGGUGUAGCGGUGAAAUGCUUAGAUAUCACGAAGAACCCCGAUUGCGAAGGCAGCUGUCUGGGGUGCCACUGACGCUGAGGCUCGAAAGUGCGGGUAUCAAACAGGAUUAGAUACCCUGGUAGUCCGCACAGUAAACGAUGGACACUCGUGGUCGGCGACACACUGCCGGUCACCAAGCGAAAGCGAUAAGUGUCCCACCUGGGGAGUACGCCGGCAACGGUGAAACUCAAAUGAAUUGACGGGG